GAGGAGCUUCAAUCCUAUUAGAGCAGCAUCAUUAGCGUCUCGGGGAAUUAGUCACUCGAAAACACCUGCUGCGGACUGUACUCGCUGCCCCUGUGUAACAGCACCGAGGGGCUUUCGGCCGCAGAAACUCAUGGUGACAGAUCGGUGCAUCAGAAGCGACGCAACGUGGGCGGACAAACGCUGAAACUUGGUCGAGCUGUCGCCCGAACGACCGAGAAACUUUUCCCGCGCUGCGCCAUGUCGGUGAGUUGUCCCGAGUGCGUGGGAAAGUCCACGAAAGUGUCUUUGAACAACAACAACAGAGCCAGCGCCUCUCUCUCCGUAGCGACCGCGGAGCGACGCUUUCUCGUAUCCAGGCGAGGACGAGGUCACAUGACCCGGGGAAAGGAAGUGGGCGAAAACAUUUUUCCUCUUUACAAAAUAAAAGUCUGAUUUACUA